UACGUAGGGCGCAAGCGUUGUCCGGAAUUAUUGGGCGUAAAGAGCUCGUAGGCGGUCUGUCGCGUCUGGUGUGAAAUCCCGAGGCUCAACCUCGGGCUUGCAUCGGGUACGGGCGGACUAGAGUGCUGUAGGGGAGACUGGAAUUCCUGGUGUAGCGGUGGAAUGCGCAGAUAUCAGGAAGAACACCAAUGGCGAAGGCAGCUCUCUGGGACGGUACUGACGCUGAGACGCGAAAGCGUGGGGAGCGAACAGG
rnacentral:rRNA from 1 species